GGAUAGUGGAAAUGGAGUUAAAAAAAAUUCAAAAGUAAAGGUUGGAAUCAAGAAAUGAGAAUUAUUCAUGACAUGAGAAGAGUUAAAAGAUUGGAGAAUUCCCUUCAAAACUCUUGACUCAAUUAUGAUUGUGGGAGUUGGAAAUGCCUUGAGUAACACUUCUUCCUUGAGUAGGAGUUCUUCCCUGUCCUUUUCUAUUCUCUCAUUUUUUUGCUUUCUCUUUCUUUUCUCUCUCUUCCAUUUAUAUUCUAGCUUUCGUCUCUUUAACUCUUCUAGCUUCUUCAACUCUUCUCUUAUUUCCUUCUCUUAAAGCUUCUUCAACUACAGCUCUUAGAAGUUCCUCUUGUCUAGCUCUUAGAUAUUUUUUUUCUUUUUCUUACUUAGCUAAUUUUAUUUGUUAUUCUUCUUUUAUUGCUCUUGUAGUCUUUAGCUCUAGCUUUUAAAAUUUCUUUUUCUCCAACUAUUAGAGCUUCUUUUGUUUUACUUUCUUUGUCACCUCUAUUGCUCUUAUCUCUAACUAUAUUUGUUCCUCUCUCUUUAUUUCAAUAUCUCUUUUCUCCUUAUCCUUCAAGAGCUUGUCAACUUUCUUUUUAAAUUCUUUCUCUUUAUGAAAGAACUUUUUUUCACUUCUAC
rnacentral:lncRNA from 1 species